rnacentral:lncRNA from 1 species
UAUAUAUAUAUAUAUAUAAUCUGCAUGCUUGUAUUUUGAUCAUAAAAAGUUAUCCUUUUUCGAGUUUGUGCAUCGAGAAAUUUGUUCUUCUAGACGAGUUUGAAUGAAAAUGCUAGAGUUUUGAAGGUUUCCACCGGACUUGUUGAAAUGAAUUUCAGUUUCAUCAACUCAAUUUUCCGAAGGCUGUUCUCAAGGGAGCCUCUGAUGUUCUACGCUGCCACGUGGACGACGAUUUUGACUUUGACAGUGGCUGUGGCAUCGUUCUGGCCGGAGUUUGCUUUCGUUUCUGCUAUUAGUCCAACUUCCACCUUUUCUCAGGCGUGUCACAGAGAAGGGUAUUUGAGAUUACCACUGGAUAUUCCGGGGGAGAAUUUUUGUUUUCCGGUUCAAUUUUUCAGAAGAUCCAAAAUGGAUAUCGUGGUUCCACCGGUUUUUGCGGCCGUUAUUGUCACCACCACGGCUUAUGCGGUUAGAGCUUUGGGCUUGUGGGAGGGGGACGAUGAUCAACUAUUGUAAGUCGAACGAAUUGGAAGGCCUUUCACGUAAAAAUCGGUGUAUUUCUUAUCAUUUAUUCUCGUACAAUUUAUCAUUUUUAGUUUUUGUUCGAAUUCUACUCUUUCACACAAAAAGAAGCAAAUUGAUUUUUCUUUUACAUUAUAAUGAAAGAAGUUAAAUUCUUAUUUGUUUAUUGCUGAGUAUUUUCAUUCUACGUACA